AACGAACGCUGGCGGCAGGCUUAACACAUGCAAGUCGAGCGCCCCGCAAGGGGAGCGGCAGACGGGUGAGUAACGCGUGGGAAUCUACCCAUCUCUACGGAAUAACGCAUGGAAACGUGUGCUAAUACCGUAUACGUCCUUCGGGAGAAAGAUUUAUCGGAGACGGAUGAGCCCGCGUUGGAUUAGCUAGUUGGUGGGGUAAAGGCCUACCAAGGCGACGAUCCAUAGCUGGUCUGAGAGGAUGAUCAGCCACACUGGGACUGAGACACGGCCCAGACGCCUACGGGAGGCAGCAGUGGGGAAUAUUGGACAAUGGGCGCAAGCCUGAUCCAGCCAUGCCGCGUGAGUGAUGAAGGCCCUAGGGUUGUAAAGCUCUUUCACCGGUGAAGAUAAUGACGGUAACCGGAGAAGAAGCCCCGGCUAACUUCGUGCCAGCCGCCGCGGUAAGAC
rnacentral:rRNA from 1 species